CCUAGAUAGGCUUUGGUUCAAUUUGCACAGAAAGGUAGAAAGCUGCACGCCUUUACUUUAUUCUCCUGGAAUGGUCUGAGGAGAAAAUAGAGACGUCCCUCCUUUAAAAAGCCCCCACGGUGCAGUGUUUUUCUUGUUAAGUACUCCCAGCUUAAUGUGCUGACACUAUUAGCCUGGACUAAACGGGCUAGAUCUGGAUGCUCCACGAGAUCAAGUUCAAAGUGGGUCAGAGGGCUGACAAAAUAUGAAUUUCGCCUUCCCAGCACAGUAUUUCUACAGGAAAGCUGAUAUGCCUGUCUUGACAGUGGAACAAGGGCAAUCAUGGAUGGUGCUAUUAUCUACAGCAUCAGAACCUGCUGGAGAACACUGUACAAGCUGAUAAGGGAGCUUCACCAGUAACCAGUGUUAGCUGCUGGGCAUUGAGGAUGGAGGGCGAUGCUGUUGAAAUACACUUUGUUGAGUAAGUCAUUUUACGCUUCUCUCAUCUACAGGCAUGAGGUGUGGAUGCCCUUUGUGGUUCUUUCUGGAUUACAUAUAUAGCAUCUGUUUUGGGUUCCUCAAUCCACACAAUACAUACCUAAGCAAGAGGGUCAGCAUU
rnacentral:lncRNA from 1 species